rnacentral:rRNA from 1 species
UAGCAUAUCAAUAAGCGGAGGAAAAGAAACUAACAAGGAUUCCCCUAGUAACUGCGAGUGAAGCGGGAAAAGCUCAAAUUUAAAAUCUGGUAGUCUUUGGCUGCCCGAGUUGUAGUCUAGAGAAGUGUUUUCCGCGCUGGACCGUGUACAAGUCUCUUGGAACAGAGCGUCAUAGAGGGUGAGAAUCCCGUCUUUGACACGGACUACCAGUGCUUUGUGAUGCGCUCUCAAAGAGUCGAGUUGUUUGGGAAUGCAGCUCAAAAUGGGUGGUAAAUUCCAUCUAAAGCUAAAUAUUGGCGAGAGACCGAUAGCGAACAAGUACCGUGAGGGAAAGAUGAAAAGCACUUUGGAAAGAGAGUUAAACAGUACGUGAAAUUGUUGAAAGGGAAACGCUUGAAGUCAGUCGCGUCGUCCAGAACUCAACCUGGCUUUUGCUUGGUGCACUUUUUGGUUGACGGGCCAACAUCAGUUUUGACUGUCGGAAAAAGUCCUUGGGAAUGUGGCACCUCCGGGUGUGUUAUAGCCUUUGGUCGUAUACGAUGGUUGGGACUGAGGACCGCAGCACGCCUUUUGGCCGGGGUUCGCCCACGUACGUGCUUAGGAUGUUGGCAUAAUGGCUUUAAGCGACCCGUCUUGAAACACGGACCAAGGAGUCUAACAUGCCUGCGAGUGUUUGGGUGGAAAACCCGAGCGCGCAAUGAAAGUGAAAGUUGGGAUCCCUGUCGUGGGGAGCACCGACGCCCAUACCAGACCUUCUGUGACGGAUAUGCGGUUGAGCAUGUAUGUUGGGACCCGAAAGAUGGUGAACUAUGCCUGAAUAGGGUGAAGCCAGAGGAAACUCUGGUGGAGGCUCGUAGCGAUUCUGACGUGCAAAUCGAUCGUCAAAUUUGGGUAUAGGGGCGAAAGACUAAUCGAACCAUCUAGUAGCUGGUUCCUGCCGAU